GAGUUUGAUCCUGGCUCAGGAUGAACGCUGGCGGUCUGCUUAACACAUGCAAGUCGAACGGGCGCAGAAAUGCGCUAGUGGCGGACGGGUGAGUAACACGUGAGAAUCUGCCAACAGGACGGGGACAACAGGGGGAAACCGCUGCUAAGACCCGAUAAACCGAAAGGGGAAAAAGAAAUUGCCAGUUGAUGAGCUCGCGUCGGAUUAGCUAGUUGGUAGUGUAAGGGACUACCAAGGCGACGAUCCGUAGCCGGUCUGAGAGGACGAUCGGCCACACUGGGACUGAGACACGGCCCAGACUCCUACGGGAGGCAGCAGUGGGGAAUUUUCCGCAAUGGGCGAAAGCCUGACGGAGCAAGACCGCGUGAGGGAGGAAGGCUCUUGGGUUGUAAACCUCUUUUCUCAAGGAAGAAGAAAUGACGGUACUUGAGGAAUCAGCAUCGGCUAACUCCGUGCCAGCAGCCGCGGUAAUACGGAGGAUGCAAGCGUUAUCCGGAAUGAUUGGGCGUAAAGCGUCCGCAGGUGGCAGUUCAAGUCUGCCGUUAAAGACUCCAGCUUAACUGGAGGAAGGCGGUGGAAACUGAACAGCUAGAGUGCGGUAGGGGCAGAGGGAAUUCCCGGUGUAGCGGUGAAAUGCGUAGAGAUCGGGAAGAACACCAGUGGCGAAAGCGCUCUGCUGGACCGCAACUGACACUCAGGGACGAAAGCUAGGGGAGCGAAUGGGAUUAGAUACCCCAGUAGUCCUAGCCGUAAACGAUGGAUACUAGGUGUUGUGCGUAUCGACCCGCGCAGUGCCGCAGCUAACGCGCUAAGUAUCCCGCCUGGGGAGUACGCACGCAAGUGUGAAACUCAAAGGAAUUGACGGGGGCCCGCACAAGCGGUGGAGUAUGUGGUUUAAUUCGAUGCAACGCGAAGAACCUUACCAGGACUUGACAUGUCCGGAAUCUCGGUGAAAGCUGAGAGUGCCUUCGGGAACCGGAACACAGGUGGUGCAUGGCUGUCGUCAGCUCGUGUCGUGAGAUGUUGGGUUAAGUCCCGCAACGAGCGCAACCCUCGUUUCUAGUUGCCAGCAUUAAGUUGGGCACUCUGGAGAGACUGCCGGUGACAAACCGGAGGAAGGUGGGGAUGACGUCAAGUCAGCAUGCCCCUUACGUCCUGGGCUACACACGUACUACAAUGCUUCAGACAAAGGGCAGCUAGCCAGCGAUGGUCAGCAAAUCCCAGAAACUGAGGCUCAGUUCAGAUCGCAGGCUGCAACUCGCCUGCGUGAAGGCGGAAUCGCUAGUAAUCGCCGGUCAGCAUACGGCGGUGAAUACGUUCCCGGGCCUUGUACACACCGCCCGUCACACCAUGGGAGCUGGCGGUGCCCGAAGUCGUUAUCCUAACCCCUCGGGGAGGGAGACGCCGAAGGCAAAGCUGGUGACUGGGGUGAAGUCGUAACAAGGUAGCCGUACCGGAAGGUGUGGCUGGAUCACCUCCUU
rnacentral:rRNA from 2 species